rnacentral:lncRNA from 1 species
CUAUUGUGAAAAGACACGAAAUAUAAAUUAUAAAAAGAUGAAACGGACAUAUUCAAGUGAUAAGCAAAUUGGUAAAAAAGGCGGUCGUUAUCGUAACGAAUCUUGGUAUAACUUUGAAAAUGAAGAUAGAGAAAGAGAACGGGUGAUAGAAAGGGAAUUGUGGAUGAAGAAAAGAGAUGAGUGGAAGAGGGAGAGGGAAAGGGAAAGGGAAAGAGAAAGAGAAAGAGAAAGAGAAGAAGAAUGGGGAAGAGAAAGGGAGAGGGAGAGAGCAAGAAAAGAAGAGGAAGAAGAAUGGGAAAUAGCAAAAAAAGAGAGGGAAAUAGAAGAAUGGGAAAAAAAAAAAAAAGAGAAGGAAAGAGAAAGAGAGAGGGAAAGAGAAAGAGAAGAGGGGGAAAGAGAAAAAAAAGAAAGAGAGAGAGAAAAAAAAGAGUGGGAAAGAGAAAAAAAAGAAAAAGAGAGAGAAAAAGAAGAGUGGGAAAGAGAAGAAUGGGAGAAGGCAAAAAAAGAAAGAGAGAGAGAAGUAGAAGAGUGGGAGAGAGAAAGGAAAGAGUGGGAAAAGGAAAAAGAAGAGAGAGAAAGAGAAAGAGAAGAGUGGGAGAGAGAAAAAAAAGAGUGGGAAAAAACAGAAAAAGAGAGAGAAAAAGAAGAAUGGGAAAUGAUACAAGCAAGAAAAGAAAAUGAGAGAGAAGAGGAAAGAAAAUCGAAAGAACGUGAAAAACAGGAGUUAUAUUAUAAUAGGAAUGAAAGCACAUACAGUGAUUGUAAAACAAAAGAUAUUAUGAAUUUGUUACAUGAUGUAGGAAGAGAUUCUAUAAGUUUAGGUUUAUUACAAUAUAAAAAAUAUAACGAAAGAUCGAAUGAAUUAAAUAAUGAUUUUAUUUUUAAUAUAAAUAAUAUUAUUUUUCAAAUGCAUUUAAAUUUAAGAAAUGUAAAAGAAAUUAUUCUGAAUUUAAAUGAUUACAUAAAGGAAUCAUUCCAUUCAUAUUGUAUUUAUUUAUUGGAUUCAGUUAAGAACAAUGAGAGAAAAAAAGAGCAAUUUUACAAAGUAAUAUUACAUGAUUUAUUUAAUAUAUUAAAUGAGUUUAUUAUGGUAGAUGAAUAUACAAGAACAUAUUUUUUUAGUUUAGAAACGAAAAUAAGACAACAGUGUUUAAAAAA